AUCACUGGCUCAGUGACCCAAAGAGGAUCUUGGCCUCUGACACAAGAGAGCGCCAUUCUGCCCUAUUCUGCGCCACUUCACGCCAGUUGGGUAUUCCGUGGGCGGACAGGUCUUUUUGGGCUUCGUCACUCCAGCGGUAUCUGGGACGUCCAGACGGACGUUUUCCGCCCGGGUGCCCCACAUACGCUCUUCUCACAGCACGAUCCUCUCCCAUCCUCUCCAGGUGACCAAGCCAGCGGAGUCGUGUUGCUUUGAUCUCGCCAAUUAUAUUAGGCAUCGCAACCAGCUCCUCUAGCUCCCUAUUUUUUCUACGCCUCCAAAUUUUCCUCUCCGCCACUAAGAGCUUGCUCUCUUCUUUCUGAGUCAGCGUCCAAGCUUCACACCCAUACAUCAAAAUUGGUCUAAUUACGGUCUUGUAGACUCGAAUCUUGGUUGGUCUACUGAUCAGCUUGGACACUAAGACUCGAUGGAGCGCUGCCGAGCAUCUUAGGGCGUUUUGGACUCGAAUAUCUAUCUCUUCCUCCCUUCGGUUGGUAUCAGUUACUGUGCAACCAAGGUACCUAAAAUGAUCUACACCUUUGUAGGUGGUUGCUCCGACUACUAGGUCUUCUCUUUUCACUCUGGUGUUCUUGUACCUUUUCAUUUGGAGAUAUUCGGUUUUCUGGUGGUUGAUUCUGAGACCAAUCUUCUCCCCUUCCUGCUCCACAAUUCUAGCCAUGGCCUCCAGGUCCCUUUUGUUUUGAGCCAAUAGCCCCAGGUCAUCAGCAUAGCCAAUGAUCUUAUGUCUGCCGUUCAACUCUACACCCCCAUCAUACAUAAGCAAUUUUCGGACGACGUAUUCGAGUGCCAAGUUGAACAGCAUUGGCGAAA